UUCUGUGGCACCAAGCUACCCCCAGCAUGGAUGCAAUUCGUCUCUUCCUCGAACUACCUGACAGUUACCUUCCACACUGAUAGUGCAAGAGACUCAAAGGAUUCAAGUUCUUUGCAAUCGCUUCGUAAGAGACGGACGGCUGAACGUACCAACGCAUGAUUUAAGGACCACGAGAUGAUAAACCGACUUCGGAUACGACGGACAGCGAUGGUAUAAAACGGACCCCUGGCACGGAUUCGGACACGUUCACCGUUCACUUCGAACGUUUCCGCAAGAGAAUUUGGAUUCGACUGAGAGGCUUUUGAAUUUGCAUCCGUAUUUGUUGCAAUUGCAUCGGGAACUUUGUUAUUGUUUUUUUAUUUUUUUAUUUUCAUUUUUCACUGUUACAUGUGCCUUCUCGUCGUUCUGAAUUUUGCUAAGUGUUUUACGAUUUGUGGAACUGUAAUGAAUUGAUCGAACAAAUAAAUUUGAUAUAGGAAAUACUUACUCAGUGAUUUCAUUGGUACGGUCAUUUUGAAUUUCACUUUGUUUUUCUCAAGCUAACGGUAGAAUUCGGCAGCUGAUAUCACUGAGGCUAAUUGUGAUUGGUAGAACCCACCAUCGGUUAUAGUGAUAUCGGUAGCGAAUAUAUUUAUCGCCACCUACAAAAGAUCUGGUUGUAGAUUCAUUAUUUUAUUGAUCGACCAAUCUGAUUUAGUGUUAAAUUAUGUCCAAAAGGCUUAAAACUAUAAAAUUAAAUUAGAUAAUGAAAUUAUUAUAACGUAUUGUUACAUCAUAAUGUAUUGCGGAAGAAACACAUUAGCGUUCGUUAUUGUUUGAUUUGGGAAAAAUAAAUGACAAAUUACGAUCUUAAACUUUUAGUCAUUUUUGGCUGCUUUACAAUGGAAAAUUUUAUCAAACGAUAAUGAUUGUUAGUUCGCUAACAAAACUGGUUAAGGUGUUGGGAAUAUUUAUGGAUUUAUUUUCUUCUUUUCUGUCUUCUUUGUAAAAGGUACCUUUGUUAUCUUCUAUUGAUCUAUAUGUAUCUGUACAUUUAAGGAAGAAUAUUUACUGCAGUAUAUUUCGGAAACUAUUUGAAACAGUGAGGAACCAGACACGCAGAAAAAAAAAUUCCUCACAAGCGAUGAAAAUGUUGAGAAACCGGUAUACUACUCUCAUAUGGAAAUCCUAAAAAAUUGAGAGAGAAAAAUCAUCAAUGAAAAUGGGAGGAUAUGAUCAAACCCAUAAAAAACGGGAAUUUAAGAUGUUAAAGAAUACUCUGGCCAGAUGAUUUCUUUCUCGUCUGUGAUGCCAAGUCAUGAAUUAGUCAUAAUUAUAAAACAUGAGUUAUCAUUAUAGGAGUUAUAUUAUAUAUAAAUAUAUAUUUUUUUCGUAUGUUAAGGCAUGAUGUUUAUUAUACGAUGUGCACAUUGCUAGCAUGAUAAUAUAUUAUAAUAAAGGAUGGGGGUAGCUACAA